UACGUAGGGACCAAGCGUUGUUCGGAUUUACUGGGCGUAAAGGGCGCGUAGGCGGCUUAACAAGUCACUUGUGAAAUCUCCGGGCUUAACUCGGAACGGCCAAGUGAAACUGUCAAGCUAGAGUGCGGAAGGGGCAAUCGGAAUUCUUGGUGUAGCGAUGAAAUGCGUAGAUAUCAAGAGGAACACCUGAGGUGAAGACGGGUUGCUGGGCCGACACUGACGCUGAUGCGCGAAAGCCAGGGGAGCAAACGGG
rnacentral:rRNA from 1 species